AUAAACUGGCAGCUGGUGUCUCGGUGACUUUUUUGCGUCCUUUCCCUGCUAUUGGAUGAUCUCUCUCCUCCCACAGAGUGACUCCGUCACAGGCGCAGAUCUGCUUGGGGUUCUGAAAGAGUCCUGCAGAACGUGCAAUGAUUCCACACGCCAGCCUGGGAUACGGAGGGGUUGUAAUUAAACAGCAGGUUGUACAUGGUGACAAAAAAGAUGCAAACGUACGUGUGAGUACAUGUGUGAAAAUAUUUUAGAAAUAGAAAUAUUUUAUCUGAAUAAGCUUGAAAUUACAAAAAUUCUUGUCAUCUUCUAAGAGGAAAUGGGAGAUCAUUUGGAUUAUAUUCAAGAUAUUUUAUCUUGCCAAGAUGCCAUUUUUUGGCCGUGUAGAACUGCCAAAAAAUUAUUCAAGAAAUUAUUCAGAGCUGACCUGUAAAAGUGUGUCUCAUACUGAUUAACGUGAAAUUAUUCAUCACCUCUUGCCCGAGUUUCCUGUUUGUCUGGACAGAGGGUGAUUUCCUCUUCCCAGAUCAUCUUCUCCUGAAUCCACCACCAGUGAUCGACCAAUCACAUCCCACACCUGUCCACAGAGACACACGUGACUUACAUUUGACCCUAUGAGCAGGUGAGGGUUAAGAGUCUUGCUCAAGGACCCCACAGAGGCAGACCUGUACUGUGUCUGUGGAAGAGCACAGGGUUACCUUCAGCUGUGAGUCCUCCAGUCUGAACGUGGCUCUGCCGUCUGCUCCCACCUGCACGUUUCCCAAAUCACCAACAUGCUGCACCACACACACAUACCUCCAUUCAUUACUGCAUCUGUUCCUCUCUCACGUUAUGCCUCACUUAUAACCCGAUUCCUACCUGAUGGAAACCUUAACAAAGACUAAUAGUGCUCCUGAACAUGUGACUUUAAAUCAUUACAAUCAUCUACUGAGAAGAAAAAAUGUCAUAUUUUAUGCCAUGGAAUCUUUUUAAAACAAUUUGAAAUAAAAUGAAUCAAAUAAUUUUGUUCAGCAUUAACUAAAUGAACUGAUUAAUGAGUCUGAAUAUCCUGUAGGUGUCACAUUAUGCUCUAAUAUGAUAUCGCUAUUUCACUGAGCAAAACAUACCCUCUCUGUGUCCUGUGGGCCUCCGUGCUGCUUCCCAAAAGGGUUGUAGUGCUCACCGCAACUGUGUGUGUGUGUGUGUGUGUGUGAGAGAGAGAGAGAGCGAAGAGACAGGAUGAGAGGUGAAUUUGAUUAUCCUGAUAUGGAGAUACAAUACAAAAUGUGAAGCUAUUAAGGCCAAUUUAUGCUGACAACCCAGUCCUCACAGAUGGCGUUGCAGAUGGCGUCUGCGAAGCCCCCCCCCCUUCGCAGACGCUCUGCGCGCACUUCCCAAAAAUUGUGACCACCGCAGACAGCCUCACAGACAGCAUCGCAGACAAGAGGGCUCUGAUUGGUCCACUCUACAUCCGCUGUACACGCACUUCCGCUUCCCUACUUUCCCGGUUUGGUUUGUUUUCACGACCGCCAUUUUUAAAAACACGAGCGAAGAUGGAGCAGCACGAAGAGCGGUUGAUCGAGGAAGUAUGUACAUCUAUACGACUCCAGUUCUAGUCAUUAUCAGUAACCGGAGGAGAAACACUCCACUAAUCACACCCACCAACUACUCCUAGCGAUUUUGCGACUUCGCGCCCCCUUGCGUUGUGGUGGUGAAUAACAUCGCGCACGCCUAUUACUCCCCGCU